AAAACCUAUUAUUAAAAGAGCAAACUCUUCUAGCAUAUGUCCUCUGGAGUGGUUCAUUUCCCUACUCUCUCUCUCUCUCUCUCUCUGCAUGUGCGUCUUAAUAGAAAGCCUUCUUUUCUAUUCUGUUACAGAGAUGGUUAUUUUGAAGAUUGCAAACUUCCUCCUGCCCAGUCCAAGUUGAAGUUCCGGGGGGAGGAAAAACGUUCCAGGCCGGCAGCUGUGCGCUGUACUGGACAACAAGCACCGCCUUUGUGGAGAGCCUCGUGGGAUGAUACCCAGGCAGAAGGUUAGAGAAAUGGGUCUCCAGCGGUUCCCUUUACUGGGAGGAAAGAGAUGGGGCCACACCUUCUUCGAAGAAGGCUUCGUUUCAUUCCCGCAGAUAUGAAAAACUAUGCUCAUGGUCCCCUCAACUUUUUGAAGAACAAGAUGGGCCCACAGCCAAUCCCCUAAACCCUCAAGUGAGCAGACAUCAAGUAGGGAAGACAGAUGGAAGACAGGCAGACUGUAGCAAGCUGCUCCUCCUGAAAAUUGACACCCUAGAGGGACAUUGGGGAUCACUCUCCACAUGGCCCCAGAAUGCAGCAUCUAGAAGGGCAGGAGAGCCCCUCCCCACAAGAGGCCUUUUGUGUGCCUGUCAGGCUGGGUUGUAUUUUUAGACUUAGCUAGGCCUGCUCUGGAUUUCCCCUCACACAGCUGCUGCCGCUGCUUUCCAAAGCCCAGCCUAGGAAGCCGGGCUUCCCUAAGCCUUUGUUUGCCUGAAGAACGGAAGAUAAUGUUUGACAGGGGAGGGAGAGUUAUGGGAGCCUGCAGAAUUCUUUCCUCAACUCCCAGACAAGAGGGUAAGUCUUGUCACCCUAUCCAGCAGCAUCUUGUCACAUACACACACACACACACACACACACACACCACCAGUCCAGCCUAGGACCUCCAGCCCAUAUUUGAUCAGGACCAGCUGCCUCAUGGCAUGGAUUGAGCCCAGUACAUCUUUCGGAGUGAGAGAAAAUUUUACUCCAUGAGAAGGAAGCUCAGACCCAAGAACCAUAUUCAAAGCCACCUCUCUCAGCCACUCUGGUAAACAGGCUCUUCCUGCGUAUUCUGUUUUAAAGCAUUUAAUUAUUCCUCCAUCUAUAAAUAAAUAAAUACUCGCUUGCUGUAGCAUUUUCUUUCAAUUUGCUACUGUAGACAAAUCAAGACAUGAUUUAUUCUUCUGAUGUUGGCAGUCUUAAACCUCCCUCAUUUGUUUUUUUAAUAUAUAUUUUUUUAUUUUAUGUGAGUACACUUUUAUACUGUUACUGUCUUCAGAAACACCAGAAGAGGGCACCAGAUCAUAUUACAGAUGGUUUUGAGCCAUUAUGUGGUUGCUGGGAAUUGAACUCAGGACCUCUGGAAGAGCAGUCAGUGCUCUUAACUGCUGAGCCAUCUCUCCAGCCAUCACCACCCUCCCAUUUGCAUUUUAAAACCUUCCCAACACCAGAAGUUACCUGUAGGGACUAAGGGGUGAACAUGUUUUUUUGUUUUUGUUUUACUUUCUACUUUUUUUUCCCUACUGUUUUAUCUUUAUUCAAACAAUGAGCUGUUACUGUUUGGCAAUGGGAGUAUUUUUAAGGUACAGUGCAGAC
rnacentral:lncRNA from 1 species